UGUGUUUUUUUUUCUGGUCUCACUUCAUUACAAAUAUGGUUGGAAAAAGUUGAUUUAGGGCUUGAUUUAAACUUUCAGAAAAGGGGAAAGAUCUCUAGAAACUGAAUAAGAAGGCAAAGGGAACUGCCUCUUCUCAGGACAAAUGGCUCUUGGUAAACUUGCAGUCUACUAAGGAGUUCAGCUCACAUAUGCUUAAUCGAGAUACAUGGGCUAAUGAAGCUGUCUCUCAAACAAUCAGUACAAACUUUGUCUUUUGGCAGGUAAGUAUUCCAUUUUUGGGGGCUUUCACACUAAAAUAUAAUAAUAUUCAAGGCGGUUUGGAAAAAUAACAUUUUUUUAAUGUCACUUUGCAAAAUGACCUUCUAUUAGUAAUUUUCAUUUUUUAUUCUGCUAUAAGGAUUCCUUAUAUCUAGUAGCAAAUGCCUAUUUUCAUAUUGUUUCAAGGCCUUGUAUGUACAUCUGUAGAUACA